rnacentral:rRNA from 1 species
AGUGAACGCUGGCGGUAGGCCUAACACAUGCAAGUCGAACGGCAGCACAGUAAGAGCUUGCUCUUACGGGUGGCGAGUGGCGGACGGGUGAGGAAUACAUCGGAAUCUACUUUUUCGUGGGGGAUAACGUAGGGAAACUUACGCUAAUACCGCAUACGACCUACGGGUGAAAGCAGGGGAUCUUCGGACCUUGCGCGAUUGAAUGAGCCGAUGUCGGAUUAGCUAGUUGGCGGGGUAAAGGCCCACCAAGGCGACGAUCCGUAGCUGGUCUGAGAGGAUGAUCAGCCACACUGGAACUGAGACACGGUCCAGACUCCUACGGGAGGCAGCGGUGGGGAAUAUUGAACAAUGGGCGCAAGCCUGAUCCAGCCAUACGGCGGGGGUGAAGAAGGCCUUCGGGUUGUAAAGCCCUUUUGUUGGGAAAGAAAUCCAGCCGGCUAAUACCUGGUUGGGAGGACGGUACCCAAAGAAUAAGCACCGGCUAACUUCGU